rnacentral:piRNA from 1 species
CCUGAGAGAAUCUGACCGUGGAGAUC